rnacentral:rRNA from 1 species
AUUGAACGCUGGCGGCAUGCCUUACACAUGCAAGUCGAACGGUAACGGGCCUUCGGGUGCCGACGAGUGGCGAACGGGUGAGUAAUGCAUCGGAACGUACCUUUCAGUGGGGGAUAACGUAGCGAAAGUUACGCUAAUACCGCAUAUUCUGUGAGCAGGAAAGCAGGGGAUCGCAAGACCUUGCGCUGAUUGAGCGGCCGAUGUCAGAUUAGCUAGUUGGUGAGGUAAAGGCUCACCAAGGCGACGAUCUGUAGCGGGUCAGAGAGGAUGAUCCGCCACACUGGGACUGGGACACGGCCCAGACUCCUCCGGGAGGCAGCAGUGGGGAAUUUUGGAAAACGAGGGCAACCCUGAUCCAGCCAUGCCGCGUGAGUGAAGAAGGCCUUCGGGUUGUAAAGCUCUUUCGGCCGGGAAGAAAUCGCACAGGCUAAUACCUUGUGUGGAUGACGGUACCGGAAUAAGAAGCACCGGCUAACUACGUGCCAGCAGCCGCCGUAACAC